rnacentral:tRNA from 1 species
CGGGAUCGUCUAAUGGUAGGACGCCUGACUCUGGAUCAGGUAAUUGGGGUUCGCCCGAUCAUCCGA